UACGUAGGGUGCAAGCGUUAAUCGGAAUUACUGGGCGUAAAGCGUGCGCAGGCGGUUAUACAAGACAGAUGUGAAAUCCCCGGGCUCAACCUGGGAAUUGCAUUUGUGACUGUAUGGCUAGAGUGUGUCAGAGGGGGGUAGAAUUCCACGUGUAGCAGUGAAAUGCGUAGAUAUGUGGAGGAAUACCGAUGGCGAAGGCAGCCCCCUGGGAUAACACUGACGCUGAGGCACGAAAGCGUGGGGAGCAAACAGGG
rnacentral:rRNA from 1 species